UAAUGUAUGGGGAUCUGCCCGAUAGAGGGGGAUAACUACUGGAAACGGUGGCUAAUACCGCAUAAUGUCUACGGACCAAAGCAGGGGUCUCUUCGGACCUUGCACUAUCGGAUGAACCCAUAUGGGAUUAGCUAGUAGGUGGGGUAAAGGCUCACCUAGGCGACGAUCUCUAGCUGGUCUGAGAGGAUGAUCAGCCACACUGGGACUGAGACACGGCCCAG
rnacentral:rRNA from 1 species